rnacentral:snRNA from 1 species
UGGGGGCGCAACGCCCUCGACCUAUUCU